rnacentral:rRNA from 1 species
UAAGGAAUAUUGGUCAAUAGACGCAAGUCUGAACCAGCCAUGCCGCGUGAAGGAUGAAGGUCCUCUGGAUUGUAAACUUCUUUUAUCUGGGACGAAAACGGGAUUUUUAUCUCAAUUGACGGUACCAGAGGAAUAAGCACCGGCUAACUCCGUGCCAGCAGCCGCGGUAAUACGGAGGGUGCGCGCGUUAUCCGGAUUUACUGGGUUUAAAGGGUGCGUAGGUGGGCUUAUAAGUCAGUGGUGAAAUCUCCGAGCUUAACUU